UACAUAUGGUGCGAGCGUUGUCCGGAAUAACUGGGCGUAAAGGGUGCGUAGGUUGACCGACAAGUCAGGUGUGAAAUCCCAGGGCUUAACCUUGGAAUUGCGCUUGAAACUGUAGGUCUAGAGCAUGUGAGGGGUUAGUGGAAUUCCUAGUGUAGCGGUGAAAUGCGUAGAUAUUAGGAGGAAUACCAGUUGCGAAGGCGACUUUCUGGACACAAACUGACGCUGAGGUACGAAAGCGUGGGGAGCAAACAGG
rnacentral:rRNA from 1 species